rnacentral:rRNA from 1 species
GACGUAGGGCGCGAGCGUUGUCCGGAUUUAUUGGGCGUAAAGAGCUCGUAGGCGGCUUGUCGCGUCGACCGUGAAAACUUGGGGCUCAACCCCAAGCCUGCGGUCGAUACGGGCAGGCUCGAGUUCGGUAGGGGAGACUGGAAUUCCUGGUGUAGCGGUGAAAUGCGCAGACAUCAGGAGGAACACCGGUGGCGAAGGCGGGUCUCUGGGCCACUACUGACGCUGAGAAGCGAAAGCAUGGGGAGCGAACAGG